AAUGGGCGCAAGCCUGAUCCAGCCAUGCCGCGUGCGGGAAGAAGGCCUUCGGGUUGUAAACCGCUUUCGGACGGAAAGAAAUCGCUUGGGUUAAUACCCUGAGUGGAUGACGGUACCGUAAGAAGAAGCACCGGCUAACUACGUGCCAGCAGCCGCGGUAAUACGUAGGGUGCGAGCGUUAAUCGGAAUUACUGGGCGUAAAGCGUGCGCAGGCGGAUUGUUAAGCAAGAUGUGAAAUCCCCGGGCUUAACCUGGGAAUUGCAUUUUGAACUGGCAGUCUGGAGUGCGGCAGAGGGGGGUGGAAUUCCACGUGUAGCAGUGAAAUGCGUAGAGAUGUGGAGGAACACCGAUGGCGAAGGCAGCCCCCUGGGCCUGCACUGACGCUCAUGCACGAAAGCGUGGGGAGCAAA
rnacentral:rRNA from 1 species